rnacentral:rRNA from 1 species
GAACGAGUUCUCGUUGAUGAUCGGUGCUUGCACCGAGAUUCAACAUGGAACGAGUGGCGGACGGGUGAGUAACACGUGGGUAACCUGCCCUUAAGUGGGGGAUAACAUUUGGAAACAGAUGCUAAUACCGCAUAGAUCCAAGAACCGCAUGGUUCUUGGCUGAAAGAUGGCGUAAGCUAUCGCUUUUGGAUGGACCCGCGGCGUAUUAGCUAGUUGGUGAGGUAAUGGCUCACCAAGGCGAUGAUACGUAGCCGAACUGAGAGGUUGAUCGGCCACAUUGGGACUGAGACACGGCCCAAACUCCUACGGGAGGCAGCAGUAGGGAAUCUUCCACAAUGGACGCAAGUCUGAUGGAGCAACGCCGCGUGAGUGAAGAAGGCUUUCGGGUCGUAAAACUCUGUUGUUGGAGAAGAAUGGUCGGCAGAGUAACUGUUGUCGGCGUGACGGUAUCCAACCAGAAAGCCACGGCUAACUACGUGCCAGCAGCCGCGGUAAUACGUAGGUGGCAAGCGUUAUCCGGAUUUAUUGGGCGUAAAGCGAGCGCAGGCGGUUUUUUAAGUCUGAUGUGAAAGCCCUCGGCUUAACCGAGGAAGCGCAUCGGAAACUGGGAAACUUGAGUGCAGAAGAGGACAGUGGAACUCCAUGUGUAGCGGUGAAAUGCGUAGAUAUAUGGAAGAACACCAGUGGCGAAGGCGGCUGUCUGGUCUGUAACUGACGCUGAGGCUCGAAAGCAUGGGUAGCGAACAGGAUUAGAUACCCUGGUAGUCCAUGCCGUAAACGAUGAAUGCUAGGUGUUGGAGGGUUUCCGCCCUUCAGUGCCGCAGCUAACGCAUUAAGCAUUCCGCCUGGGGAGUACGACCGCAAGGUUGAAACUCAAAGGAAUUGACGGGGGCCCGCACAAGCGGUGGAGCAUGUGGUUUAAUUCGAAGCAACGCGAAGAACCUUACCAGGUCUUGACAUCUUUUGAUCACCUGAGAGAUCAGGUUUCCCCUUCGGGGG